CACUUGGCAUCUUAAAACUUCCCCAAGGAGGCUAGAUACUAUUCCAGGAAUCUGAAGAUGAGCAGGAUCCCCUUUUGUCAUUACUUCUCAUCAGUGUAAUAUUGUAUUGAGGGCUUAAAUUUGACAAAAACCAGGAAAGGGAAAAGAAAUCCAGUUGCCUGUUUGAUUCACUUGUCAACUCCUUGGCUGGGGAUGGCUGGGGGAUGGAAGAGCACUUGGAAUGACAGACCAACUAAGAUGGUACUUAGUGCAGAAGGACCAGCCCCUCAGAGGAGAUUGGGGCGCUGCUGUGAGAGGUGAGAAAAUGGAUCCUGGGCAGGCAAGAACCACAGAUGCCACUUAGCACAGAGGCCUGCAUGCAGAGCACAUCUUCUUUAUCCAUUCGUCUGUUGAUGGACACCGAGGUUCCUUCCACAAUUUG